rnacentral:rRNA from 1 species
GUUUGAUCCUGGCUCAGGAUGAACGCCCUUGACAGGCUUAACACAUGCAAGUCGAGGGGCAGCGGGGAGGUAGCAAUACUUCCGCCGGCGACCGGCGCACGGGUGAGUAACACGUAUGGAACCUGCCCGUAGCAGAGGGAUAAACGGAAGAAAUUCCGUCUAAUACCGCGUAAUAACUCCGAGAGGCAUCUCAUGGAGUUUAAAGGGUAACACCGGCUACGGAUGGCCAUGCGGCGCAUUAGCUUGUUGGCGGGGUAACGGCCCACCAAGGCGACGAUGCGUAGGGGUUCUGAGAGGAAGGUCCCCCACACUGGUACUGAGACACGGACCAGACUCCUACGGGAGGCAGCAGUGAGGAAUAUUGGUCAAUGGGCGCGAGCCUGAACCAGCCAAGUCGCGUGAGGGAAGACGGUCCUAUGGAUUGUAAACCUCUUUUGUCGGGGAGCAAAAGACGCCACGUGUGGCGUUCCGAGAGUACCCGAAGAAAAAGCAUCGGCUAACUCCGUGCCAGCAGCCGCGGUAAUACGGAGGAUGCGAGCGUUAUCCGGAUUUAUUGGGUUUAAAGGGUGCGCAGGCGGAAGAUCAAGUCAGCGGUAAAAUUGAGAGGCUCAACCUCUUCGAGCCGUUGAAACUGGUUUUCUUGAGUGAGCGAGAAGUAUGCGGAAUGCGUGGUGCAGCGGUGAAAUGCAUAGAUAUCACGCAGAACUCCGAUUGCGAAGGCAGCAUACCGGCGCUCAACUGACGCUCAUGCACGAAAGUGUGGGUAUCGAACAGGAUUAGAUACCCUGGUAGUCCACACAGUAAACGAUGAAUACUAAUUGUUCGGGGAGAAUGAUCCCUGAGUGAUACAGCGAAAGCGUUAAGUAUUCCACCUGGGGAGUACGCCGGCAACGGUGAAACUCAAAGGAAUUGACGGGGGCCCGCACAAGCGGAGGAACAUGUGGUUUAAUUCGAUGAUACGCGAGGAACCUUACCCGGGCUCAAACGACACAGGAAUACUUUUGAAAGGAGGUAGCUCUACGGAGUCUGUGUCGAGGUGCUGCAUGGUUGUCGUCAGCUCGUGCCGUGAGGUGUCGGCUUAAGUGCCAUAACGAGCGCAACCCCCAUCGCCAGUUACCAGCAAGUCAAGUUGGGGACUCUGGCGAGACUGCCGGCGCAAGCUGUGAGGAAGGCGGGGAUGACGUCAAAUCAGCACGGCCCUUACGUCCGGGGCGACACACGUGUUACAAUGGCAGGUACAGAGAGAAGCGAUGCGGCGACGCAGAGCGGAACUUCAAAGCCUGUCUCAGUUCGGAUUGGAGUCUGCAACCCGACUCCAUGAAGCUGGAUUCGCUAGUAAUCGCGCAUCAGCCACGGCGCGGUGAAUACGUUCCCGGGCCUUGUACACACCGCCCGUCA